GUCGGUCGGCGAUGUCCCGCGGAGUCCUUGCGGCUCGCGCGCGGGCACGCUACCGUGCGCCGAUGUCCGGCGCUCGUCGUCGUGCACUUCUCCCCAAGUAGAACGUCGCGACCCGCUGGGUGUCGGUCUACGGCCCGGGUGCGGUGUCUGUCGCGUCGCCGGUAAAACGGCACGCGACAAACCCUCGGUCGCCCGGCCGGCUGCUCGGCGGUACGCGCAAGGUAUCAGGCCGCACUAUUCACGGUGCGUCGAGACCGUCGCAAGCGCGCGCCACGGUACUCGGAGGUUACGGACUUCGCGCCGUCCCCGGUCCUGGCCCGCUGUUGGUUACAGUACGGUACACCUUCGACAGGCCUGCGAACGUCUCCCGCGAUC
rnacentral:rRNA from 1 species